UACGUAGGGGGCAAGCGUUAUCCGGAUUUACUGGGUGUAAAGGGAGCGUAGACGGCACUGCAAGUCUGGAGUGAAAGCCCGAGGCCCAACCACGGGACUGCUCUGGAAACUGCGGGGCUGGAGUGCAGGAGGGGCAGGCGGAAUUCCUGGUGUAGCGGUGAAAUGCGUAGAUAUCAGGAGGAACACCGGUGGCGAAGGCGGCCUGCUGGACUGCAACUGACGUUGAGGCUCGAAAGCGUGGGGAGCAAACAGG
rnacentral:rRNA from 1 species